GCUCAGGAUGAACGCUAGCGGCAGGCUUAAUACAUGCAAGUCGUGGGGCAGCAGGUCUGUAGCAAUACAGAUGCUGGCGACCGGCAAACGGGUGCGGAACACGUACACAACCUUCCUUUAAGUGGGGAAUAGCCCAGAGAAAUUUGGAUUAAUACCCCGUAACAUUUUGAAGUGGCAUCACUUUAUAAUUAUAGCUACGGCGCUUAAUGAUGGGUGUGCGUCUGAUUAGGUAGUUGGCGGAGUAAUAGCCCACCAAGCCUACGAUCAGUAACUGGUGUGAGAGCACGACCAGUCACACGGGCACUGAGACACGGGCCCGACUCCUACGGGAGGCAGCAGUAAGGAAUAUUGGGCAAUGGACGCAAGUCUGACCCAGCCAUGCCGCGUGGAGGAUGAAGGUCCUCUGGAUUGUAAACUUCUUUUAUCUGGGAAGAAACCCAUCUUUUCUUGGGUGGUUGACGGUACCAGAUGAAUAAGCACCGGCUAACUCCGUGCCAGCAGCCGCGGUAAUACGGAGGGUGCAAGCGUUAUCCGGAUUCACUGGGUUUAAAGGGUGCGUAGGUGGGCAGGUAAGUCAGUGGUGAAAUCCUGUAGCUUAACUACAGAACUGCCAUUGAUACUAUUUGUCUUGAAUACCCUGGAGGUGAGCGGAAUAUGUCAUGUAGCGGUGAAAUGCUUAGAUAUGACAUAGAACAUCUAUUGCGAAGGCAGCUCACUACGGGAAUAUUGACGCUGAGGCACGAAAGCGUGGGGAUCAAACAGGAUUAGAUACCCUGGUAGUCCACGCCCUAAACGAUGAUCACUCGACAUCAGCGAUACACUGUUGGUGUCUGAGCAAAAGCAUUAAGUGAUCCACCUGGGAAGUACGAUCGCAAGAUUGAAACUCAGAU
rnacentral:rRNA from 1 species